CGAUCGUUCAUUCCUUCAACGUUCCUGCAUUGCGCAUGGCCGGAGCUGGUGCUUCAGAGAACGACUGCGGUCACGUUGGUUCGCCGGCUCCUUACUCAAAGAGAGGGCAAGACCGAAACUGGGUAGCAAAGUUCCUAACUGAAAACUGUUUUGUGGGCAGUCAAGACAGAAGUCUCCCUGAGAAGAGGAUUCAUGAACACUGACUCAGGGAGGAAGUAGGUGGGGGAGGAAGAAAAGGCUGCACACUGAUUUAAAAAAAGAAAGAAAAAUGCCUGCUGCCUCAUAUUCAUGACUUCAACGUAAAUGGCUGAGCACUUACAAACUGUUAACCAACACAACGCCAGCCUGUAAGAAGGCUCUGAGCCAGGUCAUCCAGGGUCAUUGGAGCACUAUCUCAAGGAGGAAGGCCUCAAGAAAGAUGCAACCCAGGAGAAUCAGAGUAAUAGUCUUCCUUUUGUUUAGUGCUUUAUGCUUUACAAAGCAUUCUUGAAUGUAAUCUCAACCACGGAGAGCCUGUAAGUGUAUGCACCACUGGAGUGAUUCUAUAGAGCCCAUCAUUGAUUCCACAAUGUUUCUAUCAAGGUAGAUGGAGGAGGUAUUCCUUUCUCUGGGCCAGUUCUCAGUGGAAACAGGAUUCCAGAGGAUGGUGACUCAAGACAUUUGGCUAGAAGCCUGGCUGGAACAGGAACUCUGAAAGCAAGGUCUCUUCCCUGCCUCUCUGUGCCAUCCUUUCAGGUUCCCAAGAGAAUGUCUGCAUACCACAUCCUUGGGUUUUCGUCACUGCAUAACUCCGCCUGUGAUUGUGUCCUCAGCCUACCCAGCCUAAACUGUUCCCCACUUCCUUCCCUGCCCAAGUUUCUCUUCAGUACACACCCAGCAUGUUUCUUCCUCCCCCAGCAUCACCUGUCUUUCUCAAGUCCUGUCGAUUGCUAAUAUGCUUCUCAGUUGUGUCACUUGUGUUCUGCAGAAAACUGCCCACUUGGUUCCAGUAUGAUUAGAAAUGUUUUGAAACUUUGUUUUGCUUCUGAGUGCAAUGAUUUGGGAUCCGAUAUACUCUGGAGCAGAGGUUUUCAAACUUUGGAGUGCGAAUCGCCUCAGAGGCUGGUUAAACAUACAGGCGCAGGGGCCCCACUUGAGAUCUGAAUGCAAGUCAGAGGCCCCACACAUCUGUGUUUUCAACAAGUGCCCCAGCCACCACUGAAGGGUCCAAAGCUUGAGAGUCACUGUCCCAUAUUAUCUGAUUUGCUCAAGAAAACAAAACGGUUGCAACAGCCACCUUGACUUAUACUUUUCUUGUUCUUGGUUUUCUAGAUCCUUUUAACUCGAUACCCAUAUCUUUCCUACUGCUUGUUCUAAUUCUCUUGGUCCGAGUGUUAGAUAUUCCACAUUGUUGGGGUUUAAGUUGACCCAGGUGUUCAGUAUUCUAGAUUGUUGGGUUUUGAGAAGGCCAAUAAAUAACACCCUCCUUUCCCUUCCUGAAAUUAUAAACAACUGAAAGAGAUGGAGAUCAAAACAUUGCCUUCCUUUCUAAUAAAGCAGACUGAACACUACAGCUCUAAGUCUGCAGUCAUUUGGGCGUACUCAUAUUCCCCCCACCAGCUCCCCAAUUGCAGGCACAGCCCCCUAGUCACUUAGCACAGCCAGACAACUAUAGGCCCCUUAACCCAAGAUAGAGCAGAUGGGAAUGCAUGAGAGCAGAAGAUAGGCCACUAAAAAAAAAAAAAGGAAGAAGAAGGAGAGAAAGAAAGGACGAAGAAGAAAGAUAUAGAUAGAGAGGGAGAAAGGAAAAGAGAGGAGAAGCAGAGGGAGAGAAAGAAAGAGACAAGGCAGAGCAGACCCAGCUCAUUGUUUUAAAUUCACCAGUCAGAAAACUUACUCCUCUUACCUUCUAAUCAUAAAACCACUUGACAUUUUCCUAACCUACUGCUUACUCUCUAUCUCAACUCCCCAAAGGCUACCUCAGACCAGGGGACAAUCUCAUCAUUGCUCUAAAUAGCCUGUGAUCCAUCAUCCCUACACUCUCUCUAACACCAUCCUUUUCACUUCAUGGUGCCUUCUCGUCCUAUUCCAUCUGCCCCUUGGUCUCUCCCCUCCUCUGAGAAGUCUUCUCCGUCCUCUUCAAAGCAUUUUGCACAUUAUGUUCCGACAAAUGUUCCCUGUAAUAACCUGUUUGCCUAUUUCCCUCACCACACUGUGCAUCCAAGGCAGAAAGCACUCUAUUCUUCUUUGCUGAGUGUCCAGCAGUAGCAUAAUGUCUGCCCCAUAUCCCCUCCUUCCUCCCUUCAUGCCUUUCUUCAUUCUCUCUCUCUUAUGUACCAGCCCUCCCUAGGAACUGGUUUUUAAAAAUGAGCAACGUAGGAUCUCUGAUCUUAACUUGUUUUCUAACAGGGGAAAGAGACAUUUAAAGAAAUUAAUAUAUUUGAUGUGCUAAGUUCUAUAAUUGAGAUAUAUAAGAUACAGUCAAGAGUAUAUGUAUAUAAGAUGCAAGGAAGUCUUCAUUCACUCAGUUAUCCAAUAAACAUUUAGGGAGUGCUUACUAAGUGCCAGGCAGGAUACUAGAUUCUGCAGGUAAAAUGAUGAGCCAAAUCUGACAUGGAAUUACCCUCAUGGAGAAUGGAUGAAUGAAAUUAAUGUAAGUGUGAAAUGUUAUUUUAGUCAGGGUUCCUGGUUGCAGGCAUAGAAACUGACUCAGACUAACUUAAACAGAAAAGGAAUUCAUCGGGAGGAAAUUGGGUGGUUCCUAUGAUCACAGGGGAGGCAGCAGACCAGGCUCAGAAAACAGAGGGUGCUGGCAUUCUGGAGCUGGGCAAGCAAGGGAGCCAAGGAACUCACCUCACUAGCUCUCUGUUGGACAUUUCCCCCCUGCCCGCCCCAGGUAUUGUGUUCCUGAGUCCAGGCCUCUCGGAUUCAGAUUUCUAGUGCUGACUAGGAUGAGCUAAUAGGUAAAGGAGUCUGGGGUCUAACUUCACCUUAUACUGACUUUCAAACAUUCCAUCGAUUUUCAGCCUCCUCCUCACUCCCUCUUCCUAAAUACUUGGUGCCAGCAAUUAUUUGAGCCUUGGUACAACUUGCAGGCUUAGCUUUGCUCUGUUCUGCUAAGUCAGGUGCCAUUCCUGUGACUGCUGGCUUCCAUCCUUGUUCUCAUGUUAUUUGGGUGUGAUUUUUUUCUCUUUGGUUUGAUUUUUUGAGAGAAGAGGGUAAAAGCAUUUUUAUGCUGACAUGAGUAUUUUCGUGUCUAUGAGGCAGCUUUCCUGUACAAGAUUAUUCACAGAUUAGUUUUUAAUUAACAUUCAAUUUAUUGAAGUAACAGUAAAGUCUAGCUUUUCCUUAAGCUUUCAAGUUCAAUUUAAAAACCUUAUUCUUCUACUUACAAGACUAGUAACUAAAAUUCUUUCAAGGGAAUCUUUCAUAAAAGUAAAUUAAAUACAUUUCAACAUUGUAAAUUGCACUUAUAAAUUUAACAUAUCCAAUUUUCUUUUCCGGCCUUUCAAUUUUCUGACAAAUAAGCAUUCCCAAGUACCUAAAUAAUUCUUAUAAAUUAAAAAAAUAAAUUUAAAUUAGUCUUCUAUUAAAUAUGCUAAUACUAUUUCCAAACCUAAUACAAUUCUUUUACACCCUUCAACAUAGAAUCACAAGCCUAAAUAAGUUAUUGAAUGACAAGUUCAAAUUGGACUCACAAUUACAGAAAACACAAGGGGCUAGGGAACAUGUGAAAGUUUGCUCCAAGGAUGCACUCAGCAAAGUCCAGGUGGAGAGAAUCUCUGCAGGACAAUCAGGUUUCUUUAACAAAUAAAUGCAAGGAAAAAAAGAGAGACAAAUGGAGGAGGAACUUAGAAAUUAAAGAGCCUUAAAAGUGAUAUUAAGCAACUGAAAGGUGUGGAUCCUGAUUCAAAUAAGCAAACUAAAUAGAAAACAGGACAUUUAUGAGCCAUUGGGAAAGUUGCAUGUUGACUGCAUAUUUAACGAUGUUAAAGAAUCAUUGUCAUUUUUUUCCAGUUGUAUAAUGAUAUUGUGAUUAUGUUAGAAAAAAGGAGACUUUAUCUUUUAGCAUUUUUUACUGAGAUAUUUAUAGAUGAAAUUAUAGGCUACUUGAGAUUUGCUUGAAAAUAAUAGAGGAAGAAUGUACAUAGUGGGAGUAAAGAGGAAACAAAAUUGGCCACGAGCUGGUAAUUGUUGAAGCUGAAUGAGGGGUAUGUGGUGGUUUAUUAUACUAUUCUUUUUAAUUUUGUAUGUGUUUGAAAUUUUCUGUAAUAAAAGUUUUUAAAAAUUUGAAUCCCAAAGCAAAACAAAUAGUCCAAAUUCUCUUAUAUAUUCUUAAUACUUAAAUAUAAACAUAGAAUACACAUGUUUAUAAGUGUGUUAUAUUCUCAAACCUAACUGGAAAAUAGUACUACUAAGUGAGUUUGACUUACUUCAUCGUUUCUCCACUUAAUUUAAAUCUUUGAGAAGCUAAAAGUUACUUUCACUGAAGGAGACAAUAAGUAACCUGGGGUUACCUACAUGAACAAUUUGGAGGUGCUUUCUAGGUUGGUUGUGAGGAUGAGGUCUGGAAGUGUAGACUUCCAGAAUCAUCUUCUGCAUGAACUCGAGGGAGAAGCAGAGCCCUCUUUUAUGGUUGCCAUGCCAAUAGGAAUUCCAAGCCCAUGCCCUCCAAAUGGGGUGGCCUCCCCACCCCUGUCACCUGAAUCAGGUUACACGUAUUAUCUAAUUCUUAAGUGUGAUUUGAGUCUCUAACCCACCCAUGUUGUUUCACUAUUUGAUUUAUCGACAUAGCAAUAAAGCUUUUUAGUGCUUGAAGCUAUUUAGAAUUCUUUUCACAUUCUAUCAAGGUGAGAGGGUCACACUGCUUAUAUUUAAAGACAUCCAAUUGGAUUCUGCACCAAACUCUGGCUUUACAGUCACAACACCAAAGGCGUGCUAAUGACACUUAAUCUGACAGGGUGCCAGUUGUCUCCCUUUUGCUCCUCUGGAUCCACUCUUUGCCUUGUCCACCCUGCUCUCGGCCCAAGAAGUUGAUUUGAAUGGACUACACUACAUGGAGGGGGUUCCUUGCCCUCUGGUUUCUGUUUGGUUUAGGCCAAUGAGGAACCCCUGCAGGAGACUGGAGAGGGGACUGACAGGGAGUUCAGAGUAAUAAUUACCCUGGGUUGCUCCUGGCAAGGUCACCUCUGGCUGGCUAUGCCCUUCAACAGAAGAUUACUGCUCCCCGCAAGGUAGCCAACUACAGCAUUCUCUCCUUCUGGAGUCCAGUAACUGCUCCCUCUCUUUGUCCCUUCUGGCCUGGAAAGAACAGCCAGGGCUACUAAACCUGGGUUAUGCUAUCACUACACCUGUGAUUCCACUCCCACCUCUGUAAAGAAUCCCUGUGUAAAUAAACCGUCUUGGAAUUAUA